rnacentral:rRNA from 1 species
UACAGAGGUCCCGAGCGUUGUUCGGAUUUACUGGGCGUAAAGGGCGCGUAGGCGGCGUGGUAAGUUUGAUGUGAAAGCUCAGGGCUUAACCCUGAAAUGGCAUUGAAUACUACUGUGCUGGAGGUUUGGAGGGGGGACUGGAAUUCUUGGUGUAGCAGUGAAAUGCGUAGAUAUCAAGAGGAACACCAGUGGCGAAGGCGAGUCCCUGGACAACACCUGACACUGAGGCACGAAAGCCGGGGGAGCAAACAGG